rnacentral:rRNA from 1 species
UACGAAGGGGGGCUAGCGUUGUUCGGAAUCACUGGGCGUAAAGCGCACGUAGGCGGAUUGUUAAGUCGGGGGUGAAAUCCUGGAGCUCAACUCCAGAAUUGCCUUCGAUACUGGCUUUCUAGAGGCUGGAAGAGGUUAGUGGAAUUCCCAGUGUAGAGGUGAAAUUCGUAGAUAUUGGGAAGAACACCAGUGGCGAAGGCGGCUAACUGGUCCAGAUCUGACGCUGAGGUGCGAAAGCGUGGGAGCA